GCCGAAGUGGCGGAACUGGGAGACGCAGCGGACUCAAAAUCCGCCACCCAUUUCGGGUGUGAGGGUUCGACUCCCUCCUUCGGCA
rnacentral:tRNA from 1 species